CGGCCCACCGUGCCGACGAUGCGUAGGGGUUCUGAGAGGAAGGCCCCCCACACUGGUACUGAGACACGGACCAGACUCCUACGGGAGGCAGCAGUGAGGAAUAUUGGUCAAUGGCCGAGAGGCUGAACCAGCCAAGUCGCGUGAGGGAAGAAUGUCCUAAGGAUUGUAAACCUCUUUUGUCGGGGAGCAAAAAGGCUCUGCGGAGUCGUAUUGAGAGUACCCGAAGAAAAAGCAUCGGCUAACUCCGUGCCAGCAGCCGCGGUAAUACGGAGGAUGCGAGCGUUAUCCGGAUUUAUUGGGUUUAAAGGGUGCGCAGGCGGCGUGUCAAGCAAGCGGUAAAAUAGCGGGGCUCAACCCCGUCGAGCCGUUUGAACUGGCGCGCUUGAGUUCAGGCGAGGUAGGCGGAAUUCGUGGUGUAGCGGUGAAAUGCAUAGAUAUCACGAAGAACUCCGAUUGCGAAGGCAGCUUACCAGUCUGCGACUGACGCUCAGGCACGAAAGUGUGGGUAUCGAACAGGAUUAGAUACCCUGGUAGUCCACACAGUAAACGAUGAGCGCUAGGUGUCCGGGUCGCAUGA
rnacentral:rRNA from 1 species